rnacentral:rRNA from 1 species
UCCCGGUUUGCUACUGACCCGCGAGGGUUGGUGAGUACACGGUGGAGACCGCUGGCGCUAAGUCAGAGGAAGGAGUGGUCGACGGUAGGUCAGUAUGCCCCGAAUAUCCCGGGCUACACGCGGGCUACAAUGGACUGGACAAUGGGUAACGACACCGAAAGGUGAGGUCAAUCUCUUAAACCAGUUCUUAGUCCGGAUUGAGGGCUGUAACUCGCCCUCAUGAAGAUGGAAUCCGUAGUAAUCGCAUUUCAAAACAGUGCGGUGAAUACGUCCCUGCUCCUUGCACAAAA